UUCUUUGGCCGGGAAUCGAACCCGGGCCGCCUGCGUGGCAGGCGAGCAUUCUACCACUGAACCACCGAUGCUUAUAAGA
rnacentral:tRNA from 1 species